AUUGAACGCUGGCGGCAUGCUUUACACAUGCAAGUCGAACGGCAGCACGGGGCAACCUGGUGGCGAGUGGCGAACGGGUGAGUAAUGCAUCGGAACGUGCCAUUGAGUGGGGGAUAACGUAGCGAAAGUUGCGCUAAUACCGCAUAUUCUGUGAGCAGGAAAGCAGGGGACCGCAAGGCCUUGCGCUCUUUGAGCGGCCGAUGUCAGAUUAGCUAGUUGGUGAGGUAACGGCUUACCAAGGCGACGAUCUGUAGCGGGUCUGAGAGGAUGAUCCGCCACACUGGAACUGAGACACGGUCCAGACUCCUACGGGAGGCAGCAGUGGGGAAUUUUGGACAAUGGGCGCAAGCCUGAUCCAGCCAUGCCGCGUGAGUGAAGAAGGCCUCGGUUGUAAGAC
rnacentral:rRNA from 1 species